CACAAGUUCUGUAUUUUGUUUUUGUUCUUUCACUUGCCCUGUGAAGUCCUCUGUGGACCAGCCAGCUGCCCAGCAGUGCCUCGGGGGUCUGUGUUGUUUCACCAUUAUGGUUAUACUGUCUUGGCAUGAGAACUCUGUGGGAACCGCGGCAGGUGAAGGGAGGGCUGAGGGGAUGUUCGGCGGCACGUUCUCUGCUUUAUCCUGCUAAUGACACUUGUCACUUUUGCUCAGUCCACUGGACAGAAGUGGUCACAUGGCCGGUCUAGCUAUAGGGGAGCUGGGGAAUUGGGGGAUAUACAUGGAUAUGUGGUGAGCAUCAACUGUGUGUGCUGGAUUUCAACUUUCUGAGCUUUACUUUUUCCUCGGUGAAUAAAUGAUCACCCAACUCACACAGAAUUGUGAAAAUCAAACAAGGUCACCACAGAGCAUUCUAGAGUUUAUUGAGUGCUUACCAUGAAUUCCAGACACUGUCCAUACAUCUGCUGCUGCUAAGUCGCCUCAGUCGUGUCCAACUCUGUGCGACCCCAUGGACUGCAGCCUACCAGGCUUCUCCGUCCCUGGGAUUCUCCAGGCAAGAACACUGGAGUGGGUUGCCAUUUCCUUCUCCAAUGCAUGAAAGUGAAAAGUGAAAGUGAAGUCGCUCAGGCAUGUCCAACCCUCAGCGAUCCAAUGGACUGCAGCCCUCCAGGCUCCUCCAUCCAUGGGAUUUUCCAGGCAAGAGUACUGGAAUGGAGUGCCAUUGCCUUCAGCAUAGUGCUGAACACACCAUUUCCUCCAUUUUGAAGGGAACUCAGGCCUAUCACGGUGCCUGGCACAUAAAAGACAUUCCUACAUGUUUGGAUCAAUGAAGCAACUUGUUCAAGUCACAGCUCUAGCAAGGGGCAAAGGGACACUCCAGGCCAGGGCUCUCAGCCCAGUGCUGCUGCUUCUAUGUCACCAUCUCUAUCUUCAGUCACUCAAGUGAGGCUGAUUCUCCAAGGAGGCUGGAGUGGGAGUGGGAGGAGCGUGUGGAUUUACGGAUGGGGAAGUGUUAGAUCUUCCUGCAUCCAGAGUUCUUGCAUUGCCAGGUAUGUUCAAAUAAAUAAUGCCCCCCUCCUCCAAUAUAUGUAGGUCUUCAUCCUCACAACUUGUGAAUGUCACCUUCCUUAUAUUCACCUUUGAAUGUCACUUCCCAGGUGGCACCAGUGGUAAAGAAUCCACCUGUCAAUGCAGGAGAUGCAGGUUCCAUCCCUGUGUUGGGAAGAUCCCCUGGAGAAGGAAAUGGCAACCUACUCCAGUAUUCUUGCCGGGAAAGUCCCAUAGGCAGAGGAGCCUGGUGGGCUACAGUCCAUGGGGUCACAAAGAGUUGAACAUGACAGCACACACAGACACACACUGUCAUAAUCCAGAUGCGAUUAAGUUAAAUUUAGCCCAGAUGUGGUUAAGGAUCUCAAGGCAGGAAGAUUAUCUUGGAUUAUCCAGGUGGGCUCCAAACACAAUCACAUGUGUCCUUUGAAGAGGGAGGCAGAGGGAGAUUUGACACACAGAGAAGAGGAGGCGAUGUGAUUGCGGAGGUGAGAGAUUGGAUUGGUGCAGCCACAAGCCCGUGAUUGCCACUGGAAGCUGGAAGAGGCAAGGAAUGGAUUCUUUCCUUCCUCAGAGUCCCUGGAGGGAGAGCCACUCUCCCCAUUCCUUGAUUUCAGCCCAAGGAUACUGAGUUCAGAAUUCUGGUUUCCAGAACCUCGAGAGAAUAAAUUUCCAUUGUUUGAAGAGACCCAGUUUAUGGCGACUUAAUACGGCAGCCACAGGAAACUGAUACACCUGCUUUGGGGGAUGGCUCAGAAACACCUCCGGGUCUGCAGUCCUCUGACCUCUGCCGUCUGGGGGACCAAGAAGGGGUUCCUGUGGCCCCUGUGCCUGAAGCAGAAACAGAGGAGGCCGAGCUGCACCUGUGUCGGUCGGAAAGUUAUUUUGAUGGGG
ensembl:lncRNA